rnacentral:rRNA from 1 species
ACGUAGGUCACAAGCGUUGUCCGGAAUUACUGGGUGUAAAGGGAGCGCAGGCGGGAAGACAAGUUGGAAGUGAAAUCCAUGGGCUCAACCCAUGAACUGCUUUCAAAACUGUUUUUCUUGAGUAGUGCAGAGGUAGGUGGAAUUCCCGGUGUAGCGGUGGAAUGCGUAGAUAUCGGGAGGAACACCAGUGGCGAAGGCGGCCUACUGGGCACCAACUGACGCUGAGGCUCGAAAGUGUGGGUAGCAAACAG